CGUUGGAUGUCUCCACUUAUAAAUCACUACCAGCCUUCUUCUUCCUCACACGAACCCGAGAGCAAACCAGAGAGAAGAAUUGGGCGAUUUGGGGCUGCGUUUUUAGGGUUCUAAGGUUGUGAUUUUUGUGGUGAGAUUUUAGAGAGUAUUUUGCAUCAAAAUUCCAAUAUCAAUCACACAUUUGAGCGAAUUUGAUUACUAAGUGAAGUAACUUUGCUAGCUUUUGGAUUAAAGAUUGCAAGAGAAGAAUAUAUGGAUAAACAGUGGAUGUCAGCAAAUAGGUUAUCUGCGGAAUUUAGGA